rnacentral:ncRNA from 1 species
GACCUUCUCUGCCCCCUUUUUUAGGGGAGCUGUUGUAGUGCCCCAUCUUAAACAAGAGGUGUUUGAAGAUGGUCAGAUACCGUUGUAGUUCUGACAAUAAAUAAUGCCCACUGUCUGAAUUGGCUGCAUUGCAUUGCAUGCCAAGUAUGCAUGGAGGGUGUAUAGUUGCAAAGCUGUGACUGAUGGAAGGGCACGACCAGGAGUGGAGUCUUUGACUUAAUUUGACACAACACGGGAAACCUCACCCUGACUGGACACUGAAAGGCUUGACAGAUGGCUCUUUCUCUAGUCUGUGGUUGGUGGUGCAUGGCUGCUCUUAGUUGACAUGAUUUGUCUGGGUAACUCCUGUGUGCUAACUCCUGUUGUGUGGCCCUGUGACAGCUGGUGUCCAAGUGGCAUUCAGCCGCAUGAGAUUAAGGGUAGCCUUCUGGACCCUGUUUGUGAUAGUAAUGGAGGAUUGCGAUUGUUCCUCAUGAAUAUGGAAAUCCCAGUGUGUCAUAAGCUCAUGUUGAAGAUCUCCCUACCCUUUGUAUACACUGCCUGUUAUUUCCACCAAUUGUAGGGUUUGUGAGGACCUUUGGAAGGCCCAGCUGAGGUUGGUUAUGGCCCUGGCUGAGCACUUAUGAGACCCACAAACAUGGCUACCUAGGGGAAGUAAAUGUUAUGCCUCUAUUUGGGUGUACCCUUGAGUCUGGG